AGAGACGGAUAUGCAAUCGCUUUACACUUAAUUUUAUUGUAAAGAGGAAAGUCCGAACUUUAGCUGCAGAAAAUGAUAUUGCAGAAAAUGGUAGUAGGUAAUCCCUAUCGCUCUCAAGAGUAGAGGUGCGAACAGAGACGUUUUUUUUGGAAACAAAAAAAAUAUCCUAAUAACAUACAAAAGGAUAAGUUUUUGCAGCAAUGCAAAAAGUGAAACGGCUAAAGCCUUACUAUAAAGCAAGACUGAAUUAUAGUCGCUUGACCGCUAAAAGUGAUUUUAACGGCAGAGAAAUGAUUGCACUUUUAAUCCUCAUUUUAAAAGACAAAAUUCGGUGUACAAUCCGUCUCUAGAA
rnacentral:RNase_P_RNA from 1 species